CGAAAAGCCAGCGCGUAGGGGCGCUGACGAGGACAACCAAUCUAGACCGUAUGCAAGCCGUGCAGGGGUUCGGCAAAACGGCGACGCGUUGCGUCUGAAGGACCGGGAAGGUGGUUAAAAAUUUCAAACCCUGCAACCAGUGUGGACGGAUUCUAGCAGCCUGUUAUAGAUCGUCAAUACUAUAGAUUGUCAAAUCUAUAACUAAUUGUAA
rnacentral:sRNA from 1 species